CAGUCGCCGCGGUAAUACGUAGGGUGCAAGCGUUAAUCGGAAUUACUGGGCGUAAAGCGUGCGCAGGCGGUUUGUUAAGACAGAUGUGAAAUCCCCGGGCUUAACCUGGGAACUGCAUUUGUGACUGGCAAGCUAGAGUAUGGCAGAGGGGGGUGGAAUUCCGCGUGUAGCAGUGAAAUGCGUAGAUAUGCGGAGGAACACCGAUGGCGAAGGCAGCCCCCUGGGCCAAUACUGACGCUCAUGCACGAAAGCGUGGGGAGCAAACAGGAUUAGAUACCCCGGUAGUCCCUGUCUCUUAUAC
rnacentral:rRNA from 1 species